rnacentral:lncRNA from 10 species
GCGCAUUUUUGCGCUGGAAUGGCUACCUGCCGCGCCAAAUCAAAAUUUACAAUCACCCUUGGUGCUGUUUCCUGCACUUUCUUGGAGAUUUGCACCAGGCGCUGGAGACCCUCCCACCUGGCCCAUGCCUGCCACCCGGUGAACACCAAGACCCAACCUUCUGCACCACCAGUCUUGUUGUCAGCGAACAGGCUAGUAAAUUAUUGAAGGGGUGGCCUGCCCCUCCACACCUGUGGGUAUUUCUCGUCAGGUGGAACGAGAGACUGAGAAAAGAAAGAGACACAGAGACAAAGUAUAGAGAAAGAAAAGUGAGCCCAAGGGACCGGCGCUCAGCACACGGAGGACCUACAGGGACACUGGUCUCUGAGUUCCCUCAGUAUUUAUUGAUCAUUAUCUCUACCAUCUCGGAGAGGGGGAUGUGGCAGGCCAAUAGGGUAAUAGUGGGGAGAGGGUCAGCAGGAAAACGUGAACAAAGGUCUCUGUGUCAUAAAUAAGUUUAAGGAAAGGUGCUGUGCCUUGAUGUGCACUUAUACAAACAUCUCGGUGCAUUAAAGAGCAGUAUUGCCGCCAGCGUGUCUCACCUCCAGCCCUAAGGAUGUUUUCUCCUAUCUCACCUGAUUAAUGACAGAGCUGCUUCAUUGUUCAGUCCGAGCUGAUUUUCAUUCCACAGAAGAGGAAAGCAAAUGCCCCCACGCCCAGAAAAAAUAAAAAUUACACUUCAUGGAACAAAACGGAAACACAAACUCAUCUGGAUGUUGACUUGUCUAUAUGCAACAGCAAUCAUUUCCUCCUCUCCCCGCUGCCUUCCUAAAGAACAGCAGGAUUGGGAAAGGAGACGGGAAUCUUGAGACCGCGGGCCUUUCCUGGAGCCGGCCUUGGCUGAGCAGGACACACCCCCGCUAGCGCACUUGCUCCCUCCGUCUACUGCGCGCAAAACCCGAUGGAAAUAACAGGGAGCCUGGAAUAAAGCUGACCCUUUCCCGUAUCAGAGCGAAAGGCCAGGUACACGAAGACGGGGCUGGGAUCUGUCUCCGAGUUCCCCGCAGUUUCCAUGGGAGGGAGCUCGGGUAAAGCUGUGCAAUCUGCAGUUCUUCAGACUGCGUCUUUUUGUUUGGGGGCCUUCAUUCACUCCGGGGUUCCUGUAUCUAACUCGGAGCCAUUCCGGGCCGCUGGACCUGGGCGGCUCUGAAGCGAGAAGGCAGAGGACGCAACAGGGCACCCGGCGCCCAGUCAGCGCCACAAACUCCACAGCUACUGCCUCCUGGCUCACACUGAGGUCUGCGCCGCCCCCGCGCCACCCCCGCGCCCAUUGCCUCGGUGCAAGCGACCAACUCACCUCUCGGAGCCGACACCAGCAGCGAAGCCGGAAAGAACUGCGAGCGGAGGCCUGUGGGAAAUGUAGUCCGCCGAUGGGAGGGACUGGUUCCAGCCCCAACGGGCUGCGCGGAGUGCGCAUGCGCGGGGGCCGGAGCCCCGGGUGCGCUCGGGGCGGGAAGGCCCUCCGCGCUGCGUGGGGCUGAGGCGAGCUCGGGCUUGCGUUUGCUUUUGUCGCUGAGGAAGACUUUUAUUUGUUUAUUUUCUUGAGACAGGGUCUUACUCUGUCGCCCAGGCUGGAGUGCAGUGGCGUGAUUAGAGCUCACUGCAGCCGCGACCUCCCGGGCUCAAGCGACCCUCCCACCCGAGCCUCCAGAGUAGCUGGGACUGCAGGCGCGCGCCACCACGCCCAACUCAUUUUUUAAGUUUUUAUAGAGACCAGAUCUCCCUAUGUUACCCAAGCCGGUGUCGAACUCCUGGGCUUAAAAGAUCCUCCCGCCUGAGCCUCCCAAAGUGCUGGGACUACAGGCGUGAGCCACCAGGCUCAGCCGCGGAGGAUUUAGAAAGAAGUUUUGGCACCAGCAGAUGCCUAAUAUGUGUACUAAACACCUACCAGUUACUCACUGCAUACACCCAAGCAAGGUGUGGGCACACAUCAGGCAUGCAAUGAAAAUACUCUCAAAGCCCACCAGAACCUGGAGCAGGACGUAAACCUAGAAAGGUCGCUCGUGCUCACUGCCCUCUCCCUUUCUCCCACUCUGUCUCUGUCUCUGUGUGUGUGUGUGUGUGUGUGUGUGUGUGUGUGUGUGUGUGUGUCUCGUAUCUCCUGCAGUUGUGAAUGUAUUGUUCUACUAAAAAUACAAAAAAUUAGCCGGGCGUGGUCGCGCGCGCCUGUAAUCCCAGCUACUCAGGAGGCUGAGGCAGGAAAAUCGCUUGAACCCGGGAAGCGGAGGUUGCAUUGAGCUGAGAUCCGCCAUUGCACCCCAGCUUGGGCAACAAGAGCGAAACUCCGUUUCAAAAGAAAAAGACUAACUGGAGAGGUCUGUCUCCAAUGAGACUGAAUUUGUCCUGUCCUGCGUUCCUUCAGGAAAGAAAUGGGAUAAGCCCACCAGGGACCACCCUGAGGCAUCUUCUGUAUCCCAAAUUCUUUGAUAUAUUAGUUAAUACAUGAAAGAAUUUGUUCUUUCCUUAAGAAUAUAAAACUUUAGAAGAUAUUUGAAAAUGCCUCGGCAAUCUGGUUUCAUUUUGCAAACAAUAGGAUAUGCAUGAAAUAGGAGAUAAAUGAAAAAUCUGAGCUACUUUAUAACUACUAAGAAGGUGGCCAGACGCGGUGGCUGACGCCUAUAAUCCCAUCACUUUCGGGGGGCCGA